rnacentral:rRNA from 1 species
AUUGAACGCUGGCGGCAUGCCUUACACAUGCAAGUCGAACGGUAACAGGUCUUCGGAUGCUGACGAGUGGCGAACGGGUGAGUAAUACAUCGGAACGUGCCUAGUAGUGGGGGAUAACUACUCGAAAGAGUGGCUAAUACCGCAUGAGAUCUACGGAUGAAAGCAGGGGAUCGCAAGACCUUGUGCUACUAGAGCGGCCGAUGGCAGAUUAGGUAGUUGGUGGGAUAAAAGCUUACCAAGCCGACGAUCUGUAGCUGGUCUGAGAGGACGAUCAGCCACACUGGGACUGAGACACGGCCCAGACUCCUACGGGAGGCAGCAGUGGGGAAUUUUGGACAAUGGGCGCAAGCCUGAUCCAGCAAUGCCGCGUGCAGGAUGAAGGCCUUCGGGUUGUAAACUGCUUUUGUACGGAACGAAAAGCCCCGGGUUAAUACCCUGGGGUCAUGAUGGUACCGUAAGAAUAAGCACCGGCCAACUACGUGCCAGCCGCCGCAGUAA